UUUUAAUCCCUGCACUUUGGGAAGCCGAAGUAGGAGGAUCGUUUGAGCCCAGGAGUUUGAGACCAGCCUGGGCAACAUAGCAAGAACCUGUCUUUACAAAAAUUAAAAGAUUAGCUGGGCGUGGUGGCAGGUGCCUGUGGUUCCAGCUACUCUGGAUGCUGAGGUGAGAGAAUCACUUAAGCCCAGGAGGUCAAGGCUGCAGUGACCUGUGUUCACGCCACUGCACUCCAGCCUGAGCAACACAGCAAGACUGUCUGAACAGCAACAACAAACACACCAAAAAAACUAGUUUACUUCGGAAAAGGGACUGUCUAGGUCUUUGAAGGGCUGAUACAGGAUCUGAGCUGACACUGUUUCCAGGAGCCCUGAAGCAUCAUGGCCCUCUCAUUAGGGUGCAGGCUUAUGGAAAUCAGAUGAUAAGCAGAAUUCCCAACCCGAGUCCUGUGGUUACUUCUCUGGUCUCAAUGCAUACUUGGGAUGUUUUUACCUAGCAGAGGGCGGAGCGUAUACAUUGAUCCCAGGCCUUUGGUACCAUAUGUAAGGAAGCGCAAAGUAGAAACCUUUGAAACUCCUCACCCUACUGAAACCUUUCCAAGAUAGUAAGUCAGAAACAAUGCUGCAUUCCAGGUGUAAUUGCAGAGGUAUUUCGCCCUCAAAGACUUAUAAAGCAGUGGUUACCGUUUCAUCCCUUCAAUUAACCUGAAUGGCUCCUGCUAAAUCUUGGUGGAUUCAAGUAAAUGAUGAUGCCCUGCACAAACUUAGCCAAGUCGUGUCCCCGAUCACACAGCUGUGCUAGGUGUGGUAUCUUUACUGGAACCGAUAAAUGCACCUCUGGCUCUUGAUAAUGCAAUUAUUGACUUGGUGAACAUUCUUUUCAAUUGCCAGUGGUAAAGAGGAUUAAAAGCAGUUCACAUUUAUAUGGGAAGGACAGCUCUGUAAAUGGUCUUGCUUCUUGCUGUCUGAACUCUCCUGUUCUCUGUCACAAUAGUCCUUAGGUAGCUUAUCAUCUAUAUUCCAUAUAACAUUGAUGAUGUCAUACUAGUUGGACAUGGUGAAGAAGGCCGUGCAUGUCAGAGGAUGAGCGAGAAGCCCUCAGAAGUUCUGGAGCCUGCCAUAUCAGUGACAUUCUCAGGGGUGCAGCGUUUGAGGGCAAGCCAGGGACAAGUUAUUGCAUCCUGCAUCCUUACAAGGAAGAAAGAGGCACAGCAUUGAGGCACCUCUGUGUUUUGGAGUCAGCAUGCACCGCGCUAGAGGAUACCUCUCUGACCCCUUUAUUGGAGGAGUUGGUGAACAGCAGGAUGGAUGGGAUGUCAGUCAGCUGUGCCCCUGGCUACCCCUGUGCUUGAACAGUGGACUGUGAGUGGCGGCGUCAUGCAGAAGGAGCACAGGGUCCCAGGCCAGCAUCACUAUCCAGGAGCUUCAGGCAUGCUCCGUGUACCAACAUGGGAUCACGAAUCACAUCGCCUCAGGCCAAGAAAGCCAUUUUAUAGCGAAAGAGCCUUAGGAUCUGCUGGAUUAGAGCCUGUUUCCCAGGUAGGAACGCUUCCACGAGGGCACUCCUGCUGGUUGCAGGAAGGAUACCUCUGCUGAGCCUGAAUCUGCAAAGACCACCAGGUUACUCUCAGCUCCUCAUACUGGUGGACCAGCAGGCCACAAAGGAGGGGAUACUUGAUCCUGAUAAACGGUGAGGAGGUAGCGUGGCUGCUGCGUAACGGGGCAAGCAGGCAUUGAUCUGGCACUUAGAGGAUUCAUCUAGGUCUGUCUUGGUGCUUCCAUGCCAAGUAAUGACAAUGAAAAGGUCUUUUCAGCAGCCAUAGCCCCUAAGGGCUCAGAUGCCUCAGGGUGAAGGUCUGGGCAGCGUCACCAGGCAAGCCAUGGAGACAAGCUGGAAUGCUGGUGAGGGUGAGGCCAAGGAGGAGGUGGCUGCUGAAUAUCUGUUACUUGGGAGAAGCUGUGGCAGUGGGGAUUGUAUUUGUUCUGCUAAGCCUCUUGUAUUAAGGCUUUCAUAGGAGUUGUAACUAGCCUUUACUUUGAAGAAUCGUGACAGAGUAGACUCAAUAUUGUAGCUGACUAGAUCUGAGAGGGGCAGGAGAUGGUGUCUUGGCUGAUGCCCUCAGCCCACCUUUAACUGCAGUGGACACAGAGCUGCAUCUCUGCUGUGUGUCUUUGCACUUCCUGCUCCAGGCCUUCUCUGACACCAUGGCGGCCCCCUGAGCCUGUGCCGAGAUUGUGCCACUGCACUCCAGCCUGAGCAACAGAGCUAA
ensembl:lncRNA CHKB-DT CHKB divergent transcript